AUCUUGCGCAAUGGGCGAAAAGCUGACGCAGCCAUGCCGCGUGGAUGAUGAAGGUCUUAGGAUUGUAAAAUCUCUUUCACCGGGGACGAUAAUGACGGUACCCGGAGAAUAAGCCCCGGCUAACUUCGUGCCAGCAGCCGCGGUAAUACACUAGCGUUGCUCGGAAUUACUGGGCG
rnacentral:rRNA from 1 species